AUUGAACGCUGGCGGCAGGCCUAACACAUGCAAGUCGAGCGGAUGAGAGGAGCUUGCUCCUCGAUUCAGCGGCGGACGGGUGAGUAAUGCCUAGGAAUCUGCCUAGUAGUGGGGACAACGUUUCGAAAGGAACGCUAAUACCGCAUACGUCCUACGGGAGAAAGUGGGGGAUCUUCGGACCUCACGCUAUUAGAUGAGCCUAGGUCGGAUUAGCUAGUUGGUAGGGUAAAGGCCUACCAAGGCGACGAUCCGUAACUGGUCUGAGAGGAUGAUCAGUCACACUGGAACUGAGACACGGUCCAGACUCCUACGGGAGGCAGCAGUGGGGAAUAUUGGACAAUGGGCGAAAGCCUGAUCCAGCCAUGCCGCGUGUGUGAAGAAGGCCUUCGGGUCGUGAAGCACUUUAAGUUGGGAGGAAGGGCUCAUAGCGAAUACCUGUGAGUUUUGACGUUACCAACAGAAUAAGCACCGGCUAACUUCGUGCCAGCAGCCGCAGUAAUAC
rnacentral:rRNA from 1 species